rnacentral:rRNA from 1 species
AACCUACGGGACGCAGCAGUGGGGGAUAUUGCACAAUGGGGGAAACCCUGAUGCAGCGACGCCGCGUGAGCGAAGAAGUAUUUCGGUAUGUAAAGCUCUAUCAGCAGGGAAGAAAAAAAUGACGGUACCUGAGUAAGAAGCACCGGCUAAAUACGUGCCAGCAGCCGCGGUAAUACGUAUGGUGCAAGCGUUAUCCGGAUUUACUGGGUGUAAAGGGAGCGUAGACGGCCAGACAAGUCUGAAGUGAAAAUCGAGCGCUUAACGUUGGAAGUGCUUUGG